GUCCAGACUCCUACGGGAGGCAGCAGUGAGGAAUAUUGGUCAAUGGGCGGGAGCCUGAACCAGCCAAGUCGCGUGAGGGAAGACGGUCCUAUGGAUUGUAAACCUCUUUAGGCGGGGAGCAAUGCCGGGCACGUGUGCCCGGAGGGAGAGUACCCGCAGAAUAAGCAUCGGCUAACUCCGUGCCAGCAGCCGCGGUAAUACGGAGGAUGCGAGCGUUAUCCGGAUUUAUUGGGUUUAAAGGGUGCGUAGGCGGAUUGUUAAGUCAGCGGUAAAAUGCCCGGGCUCAACCCGGGCCGGCCGUUGAAACUGGGAAUCUUGAGUGGGCUAGAAGUAUGCGGAAUGCGUGGGGUAGCGGUGAAAUGCAUAGAUAUCACGCAGAACUCCGAUUGCGGAGGCAGCAUACCGGCGCCCGACCGACGCUGAGGCACGAAAGCGUGGGGAUCGAACAGGAUUAGAUACCCGGGUAA
rnacentral:rRNA from 1 species